GACGAACGCUGGCGGCGUGCUUAACACAUGCAAGUCGAACGGAAAGGCCCUGCUUUUGUGGGGUGCUCGAGUGGCGAACGGGUGAGUAACACGUGAGUAACCUGCCCUUGACUUUGGGAUAACUUCAGGAAACUGGGGCUAAUACCGGAUAGGAGCUCCUGCUGCAUGGUGGGGGUUGGAAAGUUUCGGCGGUUGGGGAUGGACUCGCGGCUUAUCAGCUUGUUGGUGGGGUAGUGGCUUACCAAGGCUUUGACGGGUAGCCGGCCUGAGAGGGUGACCGGCCACAUUGGGACUGAGAUACGGCCCAGACUCCUACGGGAGGCAGCAGUGGGGAAUAUUGCACGAUGGGCGGAAGCCUGAUGCAGCAACGCCGCGUGCGGGAUGACGGCCUUCGGGUUGUAAACCGCUUUCGCCUGUGACGAAGCGUGAGUGACGGUAGUGGGUAAAGAAGCACCGGCUAACUACGUG
rnacentral:rRNA from 1 species